AAUCAGUCGAGAUUCAUAAGAACAUUGACAAUAUGAAUCUCGACAAGAAAGAGAGAAGAAGCUCUGUUUUGUGAGCAUUUCAUUUCGCCUUUGUCUUCUAAUUCAAUUCCAUCUCUGCAUUUCCUUCGGAACCUUCUUAAGAUCGAGAAAGUUUUAGGUUUCUGAGAAUUCUAUCUCAUGGAGCUGCGGCGAAGACGAUCUUCCGGGGAGGUAGAUGGAAGUUAGAUCAGAGACUACUCAUGCGCGGAGUGAUAAGCUUUCGCCUCCGAAGCUUCGCUUACAAGUCUGGUUUGCCGCCGGUGAGCUUUGGCAUCCCCGGAUCUUAACUGGUUUAACCAAUCACACUUCCAAAUUCUCAUCUCCCAUGGAACCAGUUCCAUUGCCGCCUCCUCUUCCUCCUACGAGAAAUUAUACCAGCAACGGUAUUCUACUUGUAUCGUGUAAUGUUGGACCGAAUCAAAUGCGAUCCGCGGCUAUUAAACCUCACUCUCGGUGCUCCUGAGCUUGACAAAACAUAUUUUUGGGCUAAUCCUAGUGGUUCUGAGGAUAUUUUUGAUGUGAGCCAUUUCAUUGAUCAUUAAGAUAUGAAGUUUGGAACUUUAGGAGGCUUCCUAAACGGUUUAGCACCAAGAGAUUCCUCAGAACAGCUCUUGCCUCCGAUCUGCAGAAACCAAGUCACGAAAUGGAGCCAGCUAAAACUUGUUAAUCAAUUUUAUAUCAUGGCAAUGUGAAAUGUAGUCAGGUAAAACUUGUAAACCAAUGUGAACAGCUCUUUCUUCGAGUCAAGCAAACACAUAAUGUGGGCUAAAACUUGCGAAUGUCUUUUAUGAUAAUCAUCAUUAUAUUUC